GGAAGUGGAGAGGGGAAAUUAGCAUCCCAUCAGAAAGAUUAGAUUGUAGGACAGGUAAACUUAACUAAAUUAGAAUUACCAGAUUCUUUCUGGCUACAGAAGUCAAGUGGAUACAUAAGCUAGUGCAACAACAGGAUGACCCUCAGACGUUAAUUCUGAAUGGCUCCAUGCAGAUUAAAUGGAUAUUUUUAAAAACAGUAUUUUUACAUUUUGCAAGAUAAGUCACAUAUCAAUGUGGCCGAAUAAACACAAAUGCAUUGGACAUGUUAGGCAAGGAUAUGCAAACAGUAUUUGACAUUGUGCUAUUUUGGGUGUUUGUUUCCCGGGAAAGAAUUGGCAAUAUAUUUCUCGGUUGCAUUGUAUUUUACAUGCUCCCUUUUGCAAGAUAUAUUAGCUACUCAAAUCAGAAUGCUACAUUAACCACAUAUUUAAACCAAAAUAUUCAUAAUAGACCUUAAAAAAAA